ensembl:lncRNA
AUAAAAGCUUUUGAUUCAUCAAAUGAGAGGCUGGCAGUUAGUAUUACCAGUAUGCCCUGACCCAAACCAAUAUAGGCUCUUCUGCUAUAAAAUAUAAGGCAUAUUUAAAAGAGACUUAAGCAUAAUAACUGACUUACAAAAGCUGAUGUAAGAAACAAGAAUACUUCAAGGAAGAAAAGUAUUUCUUCUCAGCUUCUACUGGAAGUCUUACCUUGUUCAUACAUAGUGAACCUUUCGUUCUUUAUUACUGAAUGCACUUUAUGUGAUAUUGAUGCAACCCAUAUUUUUUGAGAUUUUCUUCUCCUCUUCCCACAGUCUGUCUUCUGGAGGCAUAAUCUUUGAUCUAUGAUGACAAUAAUUUUCACAGCAUAUGCAGACAGUGACUGCAGAUGGGGAAAGCUGAGGAAUGACAGUUGCAGCCCCUGCUGAGGCUGAGUGCCACAGGGAAAGAAAGGUGUCUCACAACAGAAGGUGGACAACUCUGUAAUACUUUAGAAGAGAAUUUUAUAGUAAGAACUGAUGCUCUGCUUGGGACAAAAAACAACACAAAACAAAACAACCUGAAUGUGUGAUCCUAUCCCAGCUCAGCUUGAGUUCAGUGUGAGUUAUGGUGCUGACUGAUUUCCCUGGGGAUGGAACCUCAUGCUGUGUAUGCAGGAAUGUCACUAAACGGGUAGGUGAGUUUUUAGGCUAAACUUGUCAGCCAGAAAAAAAGCAGUGCCUGAAGGCUUAAUAUUAUCUUCCCUGUCCCAGUGUGUCCACUGGGUGAUGUUUGUUUUGGCAAUGUUUUUUUUUUUGAGCUUGCUUGAUGGUAAGGAAAUUCUUUUGAGACAGUUUGGGUAGCAGAAUAAGUUGUGGUUCUGUUUGCAGCUUUAUUUGUCUCAGCAUCUGGAUUUAUUAUACAUCCUGUUUUGCUUGACAGAAAGAUUAAGCAGACUUGACAAACUCACAGUUGUAACCUUAUCUUUGCAGUCAGAACCCUACAAGUCAUGAUAAAAGAUAUGUCGUUAAGAUCUGCAAAGGAAAAUACUGAAGGAAAAAUGGGGUGGAGAAAAAGAGAGAGAGAGAAAGGAAAAGAAGAAGAAAACCAUUUGGUUCAACAACUGUCUGCAAGUAGAGCUUGGAUGUAGUAUCAUACUGCAUAGUAGUGUUACAUAAAUACAAGUGAUAUAGGUCUUUUUUUAUGAGUGUCAUAAGUUUUGUUCUGUGUGUGGUAGCUUCACUGAUUGAUUGCUGUUACCUGGUGGUUUCUCAUCCAUAAAUAUUUAAUGAUAUACUGCAGUCAAAUCAGGAAGAACUGCAUUUAUAGGAACAAAAAAUCUGUAAUUUUUAAGCAAUUGAUUAUAACUGGCUUCACAUAUCAUAUUUGUUUCUUAUUCCCUCUGACAGCCUGGCAGCUUUUCUCACGCUUCAUUUUCUUAUCACUUAAAAAAGGCUUAUCUUCCUUUUGUGUAAGACCCAUGCAAAGGAAUUAGUUAUGUACUGAAGAGACAGUGAAGAUGUCUAAGUACAGAAUAGUACCAACUAGGUACCAUUAAAAGUACCACCUAAAAAUAAUUGUAAACUAAGGAAAAAUCUUAUGCUCAAUUGGAAGGGGCAGAAAACACAGUCAGAUGUUUUGCUAUACUGAUGGGAUUUCCAGAGUUAACGCUAGCAUGUCACUCUAAGUGAAAACUUACCUAGUAAGUGGGGGAGAAUGUUCCGUGUUUUGCUUUGUCUGGU